rnacentral:rRNA from 1 species
UGAAUUGGGUUUUAUUUAGUGGCGGACGGGUGAGUAACGCGUAAGAACCUACCCUUAGGAGGGGGACAACAAUUGGAAACGGUUGCUAAUACCCCAUAUGCUGAGGAGUAAAACGGUAAUAACCGCCUAGGGAUGGGCUUGCGUCUGAUUAGCUUGUUGGUGGGGUAAAUGCUUACCAAGGCAACGAUCAGUAGUUGGUCUGAGAGGAUGACCAGCCACACUGGGACUGAGACACGGCCCAG